UCGCAGCUGGCCGCGCGGCACCGGGGGCGGCGGGGGGGCGCGGGCGGGGCCGGGGCGGAGGAGGGGCCGGCCAGGGAGCUGCCCCGCGCGGCGCCCGGUCCUGCGACUUGUCCCCGCCCGCCCGGGCCCUGCGGCCUUGCUAGGGGGCAAACCCCGGGGGGCUCCGCCGCUGACGGGAGGCGGCAGCCCCGCUCCCGCCCCCCUGAUGCUGCCGCCGAACCCACUCCCGCCCGCCCCCACUCCGCCACGGGAGAGCGAGCGGUGACCGCCCCACGCCCCCUUCCCCCGGCGCGGAGCCUGCAGCGCGCCCGCCGCCGGGGCGGAGGUUUAUGGUGGGUCCCGCCGGCAUGCAGCGGGGCCCACCGGGCCGGCUGUUGCCCCCGCUUUCCCCUCGGGGGGGGGGACCGGGCGCGGCCGCCGGUGGCCGCAGGUGCCCGGCGGGGUGUGGCGGCGGCCUGGCUCGCACCGCCCCGGCUCCUCCCCGCGGGGUCCUCGCCGUCCUCUGCGCCUGCCCCCCCCGCCGCUCCGCUCCGCCCCGCCCCGCGCCGGGCCGUGAGCGGGACAUGGCGCCGGCUUUCGCCUGAGGAGCCGGGCCGCAGGGGGGGAGAGCGGGUGCCGCCGCCCGCCCUCGCCGCGCCGUCAUGGAGGAGGACCCGGAGCUGGAGAGGAAGGCUGUGGAAGAGUUACUUAAAGAGGCAAAACGUGGGAGAACCAGAGCUGAAACAAUGGGAGCUAUGGGUUGGUGUGUUUCAUGAGGACUUCUGGGAUUUCCUCAGCCCUUUGUCAGAGGAGUCCUGGAGAAGAGAUGCACAAACCCUGGAGACAUCCUAGUGUAAGGCCAUCAAUCCUGCAUUGGCACUGGAUAGUUGAAGCAACUCGGCCUAUGAAGAAAAGAUUUGUUCUGCCAUCUGUCUUUGGGUAAGGAGAAGCAGAGGCUGCUACUUGCUCAUAUUUCGCUGAUUCCAGUUUAUGUUGCUCUCCAGCAGCUGUUAAAUACUGGGAAAUACAUUUCUGGAGUCAGUGGCAUUUGACAGGAAUUGGUUAAAGGGAGGCAUGUGGGGAGGUGGCAUUCCUGGGGAACUAUAUUGUACAUACUGUUACAGAGGAGUAGUGUCUCCUGGUGUGUG
rnacentral:lncRNA from 1 species